UACGGAGGGUGCGAGCGUUGUCCGGAAUCAUUGGGCGUAAAGGGCGCGUAGGUGGCCCGGCAAGCGUGCGGUGAAAGCUCGGGGCUCAACCCCGAGUCGGCCGUGCGAACUGCGGGGCUGGAGCACUGUAGAGGCAGGCGGAAUUCCGGGUGUAGCGGUGGAAUGCGUAGAGAUCCGGAAGAACACCGGUGGCGAAGGCGGUCUGCUGGGCAGUUGCUGACACUGAGGCGCGACAGCGUGGGGAGCAAACAGG
rnacentral:rRNA from 1 species